rnacentral:rRNA from 1 species
ACGAUGAAGCCGCUUCGGUGGUGGAUUAGUGGCGAACGGGUGAGUAACACGUGGGCAAUCUGCCCUUCACUCUGGGACAAGCCCUGGAAACGGGGUCUAAUACCGGAUAACACUCUGUCCCGCAUGGGACGGGGUUAAAAGCUCCGGCGGUGAAGGAUGAGCCCGCGGCCUAUCAGCUUGUUGGUGGGGUAAUGGCCUACCAAGGCGACGACGGGUAGCCGGCCUGAGAGGGCGACCGGCCACACUGGGACUGAGACACGGCCCAGACUCCUACGGGAGGCAGCAGUGGGGAAUAUUGCACAAUGGGCGAAAGCCUGAUGCAGCGACGCCGCGUGAGGGAUGACGGCCUUCGGGUUGUAAACCUCUUUCAGCAGGGAAGAAGCGAAAGUGACGGUACCUGCAGAAGAAGCGCCGGCUAACUACGUGCCAGCAGCCGCGGUAAUACGUAGGGCGCAAGCGUUGUCCGGAAUUAUUGGGCGUAAAGAGCUCGUAGGCGGCUUGUCACGUCGGAUGUGAAAGCCCGGGGCUUAACCCCGGGUCUGCAUUCGAUACGGGCUAGCUAGAGUGUGGUAGGGGAGAUCGGAAUUCCUGGUGUAGCGGUGAAAUGCGCAGAUAUCAGGAGGAACACCGGUGGCGAAGGCGGAUCUCUGGGCCAUUACUGACGCUGAGGAGCGAAAGCGUGGGGAGCGAACAGGAUUAGAUACCCUGGUAGUCCACGCCGUAAACGUUGGGAACUAGGUGUUGGCGAC